GAGUUUUGCCGGUGCACCCAAAAUGUCUCCCCCGGUCCCCCAGGUCUGGGUUGUGGCGCCGCUGCGGCUUCUGUGAGUCGAGUUGUCCGCGAUCUCCCGCGUGGCCCCCCUCCCGCGCUAGCUGUGGUUCCGGGGUGUUGCCUCGGGAUGGGGAAAGCGUAGCGUUUCUUCGCAGCCCCCAUCCCCCAAGCCGGCGACGUUGCGGGCUCUGCGUAGCUGCCGCUGUGACUCACCUCCUUCCUCCUGGCAGAGACCUGUGUGGCCGCAGCUUUCAGCUGAGGGCCCUGGACCGUAUCCUUCAUCUCCCUCUCAAGGUGUGUUCUCAGGAGCAGUCCGGCACCAUCUUCGGGUUUGAUUCCAGGAUCCUCGUGUGUAAAUAAGAAUUUUUGAAACCACUUGUGCAGGAGACUUGCAGAGCUUGGAGGGCUGGACCAGGAUGGAGAGGAGUGAUAAGCCUUGCCCCUGGAAGAUCUGUUGAGCUCGCUGCCUGGAAGACAGGGCACGCGUCCAGGCCCGCCACACGCAGGUUGGCCUCCCCAGCUGGUACAGAGAGAAGUCUGGACCUUCUUCCGUUUGCUGUCAUCUGUGUUUACUGAGUAGACUUUGUGUUGAUUACUGGGACCCAGUGUGUCUGAGGGUUGUAGACUGAACGAAUACCAGGCGCCAGACAUACAGUGCUGCUCCCGUACAUCUGACCCCACGACAAAGGAAGAGAGGCCCCGCGCUUGGCAGCUUCCUGGAACGUCUCAGAAGAUCUGGAGUCCGGAAGGAGAGAACAGGUCUGCAAGGAAGAGAUUCUGUUAAGAGAAUAGAUCUUCAGACUUCUUUUUAUACACAGGAAAGGUAACUGUGUGAGGUGAGGAGUGUAUUACAAUUACCUUAAUUGUGAUCAUCAUUUCACAAUGUGUAUGUAUAUCAAAUCGUAUUACGCACUUUAAUUCUAUACAAUUUUAACAAUUAAAAAGAAAGCUGGGAAAAAAUACAAAUAAAAUGUCAAGCAGAUCCCUUGAUGGGUGGUUCUGUUGAGUUCAGCUUUAUCCUUGCUGACUGUCUGCCUACUGUGUCUGUCAGUUACUAAUAGAGGGAGUGUGGAAAUACCUCACGUUAAUAGUGGGUAAUCUAUUUCUCUGCAUUUUUGUCAGUUUUUGCCUCUUGUAUUGUGACGCUUUGUUGUAAAGUGCAUAUAUUUCAAAGAUUAUUGUGUCUUCUCAGAGAAUCGACCCUCCCUUAUUAUGUAACACCCUCUUUAUUCCUUGGAAGUUUCCUUGUUCAAAUGCCUUUUUUGUCUGAAAUUAGUAUCGCUACUCCAGCUUUCAUUUGAUUAGUGCCCCUGGUACCCCUCUCCCCGCUCUUUUACUCUCAAUAUUUGUGUGUUUUUAUAUUUAAAUUGGGUUUCUUAUAGACACCAUAGAGUCCGGUCUUGUUUUUCACCUACCCUUACAGUGUCUUCUUUUAACUGGCGUAUUUAGAGCACACCCGUUUAAAGUGAUUAUUGAUAGUUGGAUUUAUAUCUACCAUGUUUGUCAAAAUUCUGUAUUUGUUGCACUUGUUCUUUGUUUUUUUCUUAAUCUUUCUGUUUCUGCCUUCUCUUCUAAUUGAGCAUUUUUUAUUAUUCCAUUUUCUCUUCUCUCUCAGCGUAUCAGUUAUAUUUCUUUUUAACUUUUUAGUGGUUUCCCUAGACCUAGACUGCGCAACAUAAAUUUACAACUAAUCUAGGUCCGCCUUCAGACAACACUGCACCACUGUCUGGGCAGUGUGGGUGUAACAGAGAAUCCCCAGCUCCCCACUCCCAUCCCUUCAUAACACUGCUACCGUCUCUUGCACUGACCUCCGCUAUGAUCACCCGUAUGUUGUGGCUGUUAUUCCUUUGAACAGUUGUCCUUUAGAGUAAA